GGCGCANGGGUGAGUAACACGUAUCCAACCUGCCCUUUACUCGGGGAUAGCCUUUCGAAAGAAAGAUUAAUACCCGAUAGCAUAAUGAUUCCGCAUGGUUUCAUUAUUAAAGGAUUCCGGUAAAGGAUGGGGAUGCGUUCCAUUAGGUUGUUGGUGAGGUAACGGCUCACCAAGCCUUCGAUGGAUAGGGGUUCUGAGAGGAAGGUCCCCCACAUUGGAACUGAGACACGGUCCAAACUCAUACGGGAGGCAGCAGUGAGGNAAUAUUGGUCAAUGGGCGCUAGCCUGAACCAGCCCAAGUAGCGUGAAGGAUGAAGGCUCUAUGGGUCGUAAACUUCUUUUAUAUAAGAAUAAAGUGCAGUAUGUAUACUGUUUUNGUAUGUAUUAUAUGAAUAAGGAUCGGCUAACUCCGUGCCAGCAGCCGCGGUAAUACGGAGGAUNCCGAGCGUUAUCCGGAUUUAUUGGGUUUAAAANGGGAGCGUAGGUGGACUGGUAAGUCAGUUGUGAAAGUUUGCGGCUCAACCGUAAAAAUUGCAGUUGAUACUGUCAGUCUUGAGUACAGUAGAGGUGGGCGGAAUUCGUGGUGUAGCGGUGAAAUGCUUAGAUAUCACGAAGAACUCCGAUUGCGAAGGCAGCUCACUGGACUGCAACUGACACUGAUGCUCGAAAGUGUGGGUAUCAAACAGGAUUAGAUACCCUGGUAGUCCACACAGUAAACGAUGAAUACUCGCUGUUUUGCGAUAUACAGUAAGCGGCCAAGCGAAAGCAUUAAGUAUUCCACCUGGGGAGUACGCCGGCAACGGUGAAACUCAAAGGAAUUGACGGGGGCCCCGCACAAGCGGAGGAACAUGUGGUUUAAUUCGAUGAUACGCGAGGAACCUUUACCCGGGGCUUAAAUUGCAGUGGAAUGAUGUGGAAACAUGUCAGUGAGCAAUCACCGCUGUUGAAGGUGCCUGCAUGGNUUGUCGUCAGCUCGUGCCGUGNAGGUGUCGGCUUAAGUGCCAAUAACGAGCGCAACCCNUUAUCUUCAGUUACUAACAGGUUAUGCUGAGGACUCUGGAGAGACUGCCGUCGUAAGAUGUGAGGAAGGUGGGGAUGACGUCAAAUCAGCACGGCCCUUACGUCCGGGGCUACACACGUGUUACAAUGGGGGGUACAGAAGGCAGCUAGCGGGUGACCGUAUGCUAAUCCCAAAAUCCUCUCUCAGUUCGGAUCGAAGUCUGCAACCCGACUUCGUGAAGCUGGAUUCGCUAGUAAUCGCGCAUCAGCCACGGCGCGGUGAAUACGUUCCCGGGCCUUGUACACAANGCCCGUCAAGCCAUGGGAGCCGGGGGUACCUGAAGUACGUAACCGCAAGGAUCUCCUAGG
rnacentral:rRNA from 1 species